rnacentral:ribozyme from 1 species
GAACGAUACACCUCCUCGUUUAACGAGAACGACUUGAAUGAGGCAAUGGGAAAGCAAAGCGCGAAAGCUGAUGAAACGGCAGAUCCAAACGACGAAACGCC